rnacentral:rRNA from 1 species
AUACGGAGGGUGCAAGCGUUAUCCGGAUUUAUUGGGUUUAAAGGGUUCGUAGGCGGAUCAAUAAGUCAGUGGUGAAAGCCCGUGGCUCAACCAUAGAACUGCCAUUGAUACUGUUGAUCUUGAGUACACUUGAAGUGGGCGGAAUGCGUCAUGUAGCGGUGAAAUGCAUAGAUAUGACGCAGAACACCGAUUGCGAAGGCAGCUCACUAAAUUGUAACUGACGCUGAGGAACGAAAGCGUGGGGAGCGAACAGGAUUAGAUACCCUAGUAGUCC